UUACGGCCACAUCAUGUUGAAACACCUGUUCCCGCAAAUUCACCGAAGUUAAGCAACGUUCACCCUGGUCAGUAGAUAGAUGGGUGACUGCUUGGGAAUACCAGGUGCUGUAAG